AAAUUAAGUACUCGAAAAGUAAGAAGCAAAUUUUGCAGCUAGUUUCGACCUAGAAGUUUGACAACACAAUAAGUCCUUACUU
rnacentral:tRNA from 1 species